rnacentral:rRNA from 1 species
UGAGGAAUAUUGGUCAAUGGGCGAGAGCCUGAACCAGCCAAGUAGCGUGCAGGAUGACGGCCCUAUGGGUUGUAAACUGCUUUUAUGUGGGGAUAAAGUGCGUGACGUGUCAUGCAUUGCAGGUACCACAUGAAUAAGGACCGGCUAAUCCCGUGCCAGCAGCCGCGGUAAUACGGAAGGUCCGGGCGUUAUCCGGAUUUAUUGGGUUUAAAGGGAGCGUAGGCUGUCUAUUAAGCGUGUUGUGAAAUUUACCGGCUCAACCGGUGGCUUGCAGCGCGAACUGGUCGACUUGAGUAUGCAGGAAGUAGGCGGAAUUCAUGGUGUAGCGGUGAAAUGCUUAGAUAUCAUGACGAACUCCGAUUGCGCAGGCAGCUUACUGUAGCAUAACUGACGCUGAUGCUCGAAAGUGCGGGUAUCAAACAGG